rnacentral:rRNA from 1 species
GACGAACGCUGGCGGCGUGCUUAACACAUGCAAGUCGAACGAGUGGCGAACGGGUGAGUAAUACGUGAGUAACCUGCCCUCUUUUUGGGAUAAGCCUUGGAAACGGGGUCUAAUACCGGAUAGUGGGGGAUGGGCUCGCGGCCUAUCAGCUUGUUGGUGGGGUGCUGGCCUACCAAGGCGGUGACGGGUAGCCGGCCUGAGAGGGUGGACGUCCAGACUUGGACUGAGACCCGGCCCAGACUCCUACGGGAGGCAGCAGUGGGGAAUAUUGCACAAUGGGCGCAAGCCUGAUGCAGCGACGCCGCGUGAGGGAUGUAGGCCUUCGGGUUGUAAACCUCUUUCGCCAGUGAAGCGGUAGCUGGAUAAGAAGCGCCGGCUAACUACGUGCCAGCAGCCGCGGUAAUAC